rnacentral:lncRNA from 1 species
CUUUACUUAUUUUUGAAAUAUACUAACAUGGCUCACAAAGAAAUAAGGUAUAAAAGUAUUUUUUUCUUAAAAAUAAAAUAGAAAACAUUAUUUAUGAUAAACAUUAUGGCAAAAAGUAUUUAUAAUAGAUGUUUUAUUUAAUUAAUGAUUCCAAUUAUCCCCUAAAAUAUUAAACACCCCCUUGGGGUAAUUCCCCAAUGGUUGAGAAUCACUCUUCUCUACAAAUCCUGUUUACAAGCAAUUCAAUGUAUGAUAGUAUUCUAUAUUUUACAUUGUUUUCAAAUAGUGCUUAUCUACACAAUAGGAAUUGUAUGCUGCUGAAAGAAUGUGAGAUAUCAUUUAUUUGUAAUAGUAUUCUUCUCUGGGUCUGUGUUUCCAUCUCAAAGAAGAAUAAUCACAAAAUCUGCUAGGAAACCAUUCUAAUUAAUGUAAGGAUUGUUGAAAAAGUUUUUCUUGAACACUGUUAUAAGGUGAUGUAGUUCCUAUAUGCAAGAAUUUUAUGAAUUUAUAGGAUUAUUGAGACUAAAAUAUGUCAUCUGUCCACAGGAACUUUUAUGACUGUGUUGUCAUCUCCAUGCAAGCCAGAAAUUGGAAAUUGAAAUUGAACCAUUGUGAUGAAUCAUUGAAGAGUAGCUAUUCAACAGUAUGAAUCCUGCAUUAAUACUAUAUGAAUCUAAGGAUUGUGCAGACAGUUGAUCAAGAAUAAUCCAUCCUCUUUGCCCUUACUGAUGGAGAGUUACUUACUAUAUGAGUUGUCAUGGCAACAGAUAUACUGCUUUGUCAUCAGUCCCUUCUACAGUAGGUUUAUAUUUCCUUCUGAUGCCAGUUUCAAAGCUCAAAUUCAUUGGUUUUUUAAUUUUUUUCUCAUAUUUAGUAACUCUGCUGAUAUAAGAAUUCUUUCCUUGGAUUUUUGAUUUGCCAAUAUUCUCGUAAUGCAAUACCCAUU